rnacentral:rRNA from 1 species
UGGGGAAUUUUGGACAAUGGGCGAAAGCCAUGAUCCAGCCAUGCCGCGUGCAGGAUGAAGGCCUUCGGGUUGUAAACUGCUUUUGUACGGAACGAAAAGCCUCUUUCUAAUAAAGAGGGGUCAUGACGGUACCGUAAGAAUAAGCACCGGCUAACUACGUGCCAGCAGCCGCGGUAAUACGUAGGGUGCAAGCGUUAAUCGGAAUUACUGGGCGUAAAGCGUGCGCAGGCGGUUUUUGUAAGACAGAGGUGAAAUCCCCGGGCUCAACCUGGGAACUGCCUUUGUGACUGCAAGGCUGGAGUGCGGCAGAGGGGGAUGGAAUUCCGCGUGUAGCAGUGAAAUGCGUAGAUAUGCGGAGGAACACCGAUGGCGAAGGCAAUCCCCUGGGCUGCACUGACGCUCAUGCACGAAAGCGUGGGGAGCAAACAGGAUUAGAUACCCUGGGUAGUCCACGCCCUAAACGAUGUCAACUGGUUGUUGGGGUCUUCACUGACUCAGUAACGAAGCUAACGCGUGAAGUUGACCGCCUGGGGAGUACGCCGCAAGGUUGAAACUCAAAUGAAUUGACGGGGUCAUAGCUG